CGCUGUGGGUCUCAGCAGCUCGGGCGGCGGGAGGAGUGGCAGCGGCAAGGCAGCCCAGUUUCGCGAAGGCUCUCGGCGCGCCGCGGCCCGCAGGCAACCGGCACGCACCUUCCCCGCCGCCAGGAUGCCCAAGAGGAAGGUCAGCUCCGCCGAAGGCGCCGCCAAGGAAGAGCCCAAGAGGAGAUCGGCGCGGUUGUCAGCUAAACCUCCUGCAAAAGUGGAAGCGAAGCCGAAGAAGGCAGCAGCGAAGUGUAGGUAGAAGUUUAGCACUGCACAGUCAUCAGAAGAGGCAAGAUUAAUUUCCUUGACAUUGAGGAGUUGGGUAAUUACUAAAUUUGUCCUUGUUAAAUAAAGAAAGUUCUGUUUUUGUGAUCCUUUUAAAAAUAAAGCUUCACGGAAGGUAUGAGAAUAGUAUUUUUCAACUUGCAAUUUCUCAUUACCAGAAGACCAUGUGGUAAUUCUCUGUAUACAGUUAGAACAGCACGGAAACUUGAAGGCCU
rnacentral:sRNA from 1 species